rnacentral:lncRNA from 1 species
CACAGUGACAUUCUACCUAAACCACAGGUCCAGACUCAAAGGAGUCAAGGACUACAGACAGAAACUGUGAGGCAAGAGCAAUGGAGCAUGCUGUACCAGCUUAUGAGGACCUGUUUUGAACAAACACCAAGAUUGAUAAUGUGCCCCUAAGGGGAAGCGUCUAUACAGCCGGGUUCUUCAAGGAUACAUCAAAGGGGCAAGAUGGGCCAUCUUCUAGACUAUAUGUCCAAGGGGCAGCUAGGACACCUGUUCCCUGAAGCCUGUGUUCUACCAUCAAAAUGAGGAUCUGUUUGUCCUUUUCAUACUCUUCAGUGAGCCCAGUCUCCUGUAUUCCUUUGAUCUUAGAAAACCAAAGCAGAACAAGCGACAACCUGAAGAUAAGAUGUCUGCCUUGGCAAUCAUUUUUUUCCCCUUGGUGCUGAGCUCAAUUGUCUUGAUUACUCACAUCUGUGCUAUUUGCAAGUGAGGCUUAAAUCUGGGGGUCUCUUAGGAGCUCUUUGUAGUUGCUCGAGGUGUCUUUGAGACAGUGCUCGUCUGUUCUAACCUGAGAUUGGCAUUCAGGCAAUUGACAUACUACAAAGCCAAGGCACAGAAAAUGGUGUUCAUCAAUAGGGAUGGGCCUUCAACCAGUGUCCCCAAAGUAGCUCCAAGGUAUGAGCUGCUUACCCCUCCAUUAAAAUUAGAAUGUGA